GUCAGAGUGGGGUAAUGGUUUGGGCGUUGGGCUAGGAAACUGAAAGACCAGGGUUCAAAUCCCAGCUUGGCCA